GCGUUGUUCGGAAUUACUGGGCGUAAAGGGCGCGUAGGCGGCCUUCUAAGUCGGACGUGAAAUCCCUCGGCUUAACCGAGGAACUGCGUCCGAGACUGAAAGGCUUGAAUCCGGGAGAGGGAUGUGGAAUUCCAGGUGUAGCGGUGAAAUGCAUAGAUAUGUCACAGAACACCAAGUGCGAAGGCAGCUUACUAGGGCGUCAAUGACGCUGAGGCACGAAAGCGUGGGGAGCAAACAGG
rnacentral:rRNA from 1 species